UAGAGUUUGAUCCUGGCUCAGAUUGAACGCUGGCGGCAGGCCUAACACAUGCAAGUCGAACGGUAACAGAAAGCAGCUUGCUGCUUUGCUGACGAGUGGCGGACGGGUGAGUAAUGUCUGGGAAACUGCCUGAUGGAGGGGGAUAACUACUGGAAACGGUAGCUAAUACCGCAUAACGUCGCAAGACCAAAGAGGGGGACCUUCGGGCCUCUUGCCAUCGGAUGUGCCCAGAUGGGAUUAGCUAGUAGGUGGGGUAAUGGCUCACCUAGGCGACGAUCCCUAGCUGGUCUGAGAGGAUGACCAGCCACACUGGAACUGAGACACGGUCCAGACUCCUACGGGAGGCAGCAGUGGGGAAUAUUGCACAAUGGGCGCAAGCCUGAUGCAGCCAUGCCGCGUGUAUGAAGAAGGCCUUCGGGUUGUAAAGUACUUUCAGCGAGGAGGAAGGUGUUGUGGUUAAUAACCACAGCAAUUGACGUUACUCGCAGAAGAAGCACCGGCUAACUCCGUGCCAGCAGCCGCGGUAAUACGGAGGGUGCAAGCGUUAAUCGGAAUUACUGGGCGUAAAGCGCACGCAGGCGGUUUGUUAAGUCAGAUGUGAAAUCCCCGGGCUCAACCUGGGAACUGCAUUUGAAACUGGCAAGCUUGAGUCUCGUAGAGGGGGGUAGAAUUCCAGGUGUAGCGGUGAAAUGCGUAGAGAUCUGGAGGAAUACCGGUGGCGAAGGCGGCCCCCUGGACGAAGACUGACGCUCAGGUGCGAAAGCGUGGGGAGCAAACAG
rnacentral:rRNA from 1 species